UUAAUCCUGACUUGUGGUUAAACAGUUCACAAAUUUCCAAAACACCGUUUUUAAACAAAUCUCAACACAUCACGUGUUUCAAAAGGUUUCGAAAAUUCUAGAGUGAACCACGUUUACCAAUCCGGCCAUGAAUUUCGUUUCCAAGAAACGACAGGUUAAUAGAAACAACCAUGUGGAGUUAGACUCGCUUUAUUCUUCUAAAUCGAAAAGUGAUAUACACAUAUUUUACCUUCUCCACUGUCAAUCGACGCUGUUGCUGCAUGGGAAAAUCGAGGAAAACCGAGAUUAUCGCACAAUCCACCGAUAUCGGGGUCUUCAAAUUCGAGUUUCAAUCUCUUUGCGCGCGAUUCGUAAUCUUGCACGUUUGGGUCGGAAUCCAUCUUGGACACGAGACACGAAUAACUUUUGUGGACAACCUGACUCGAGAAAGACGAAGCCGGAAGACGUCCACAUCGACGCGCACAGAUGGAAUUUGAUCGAAACUCAAUGCGAAACUGAUGGUAUCGGACUAACGGUGUUGCCGAAUUGCAACCAUCGAGGUAUAGACUUUCUGUUUUGUUCCUUUCCAUGUUUUUUUCUACAGAUUAUGGAGCUUAUAUCCGGAUGUACCCCUUUUUAUUGAAUAAAAACUUCACAACAAA